CAUUAUCGAAUUUGGAUCCGAAGGGGAGGACGGGCGAGCGAAGUUUGCAGAAGCACUAGAGAUCGUCGCUGGCCUUUGGAAACAAAGGCAUGUGCACGCUCGACCCUCUGCUUAGUCCUCGUUCUCUUUCCUUUCGUAAAUCUUUGACACCCGUGCACCUCUUGUAGGUCCCCGCAAGGGGAACCUAUGUCUUCAUAAACCCCUUUGUAUGUCCAGGAAUGUAUCUAAAGCGUCGAACGGCUUGGCUAAAUGUCUGGUCGGCGACGGUAAAGAACGCAGUACAACUUUCAGCAACGGAUCUCUUGGCUCUCGCAUCGAUGAAGAACGCAGCGAAUUGCGAUAAGUAAUGUGAAUUGCAGAUUUUCAGUGAAUCAUCGAAUCUUUGAACGCACCUUGCGCUCCUUGGUAUUCCGAGGAGCAUGCCUGUUUGAGUGUCAUCUAACUCUCAACCAUCCCUCGAUUAGUUUCGAGGUUUGGCUUGGAUUUUGGGAGCUGCCGGCGGCCCCUCGGGUCUUUGGCUCUCCUCAAAAGCAUUAGCGACGGUGGUGCGACCUCUCCCCCCCCCCGCGCAUGAACGGCCUUCGACGUGAUAAUGAUCGUCGUGGCUGGAGUGUGCUAGCUGGGGUUGUCGUGUUCGGCGCUUCUAGUUCUCGUCGAAAGACGAAAAUAUCGAAACAUGACCUCA
rnacentral:rRNA from 1 species